AACGAACGCUGGCGGCGUGGAUAAGACAUGCAAGUCGAACGGGAUUUUCUUUGGUAGCAAUACCGAAGAAAGUCUAGUGGCGAACGGGUGCGUAACACGUGGGCAAUCUGCCUUAAAGUGGGGGAUAGCUCGGCGAAAGCCGGAUUAAUACCGCAUGUGAUUACCGGAGACAUCUUCGGAACAUCAAAGUCGGGGCAACCUGACGCUUUUUGAGGAGCCCGCGGCCUAUCAGCUAGUUGGUGAGGUAACGGCUCACCAAGGCUUUGACGGGUAGCUGGUCUGAGAGGACGACCAGUCACACUGGAACUAAGACACGGUCCAGACACCUACGGGUGGCAGCAGUCGAGAAUUUUUCUCAAUGGGGGAAACCCUGAAGGAGCGACGCCGCGUGGAGGAUGAAGGUCUUCGGGUUGUAAACUCCUGUCAUUUGGGAACAAUGCUUACGUAUUAACUGUACGUGAGUUGACAGUACCAGAAGAGGAAGAGACGGCUAACUCUGUGCCAGCAGCCGCCGUAAAAC
rnacentral:rRNA from 1 species